UCCCUCUCGGGGUCGCGCCUGGAGAGUUUCCAGUCCUCUACCAGUCUUGACUAUGGGAGGGAGAGUUAAGCAGAGGCCUGCCCAUUCCAUUCCCAGCUUGACCAGUGGCUAGCGAGUGGCAGGCCAUCUGCUACAAGU